GGUGGUUGAGUAUUUUGGAUUCUUGACAUGGUUUUCAUCUUUGUUCCACGAGUAAUACCGAUCUACCUUAUUGAUUCCUAGGUACACUGAAGCAUGUUAAGUUGCAGCUUGGGGCAGACAAAAAUUGAACUUCUCCAAAGCAAAUCAGCGGUUCUCAAGUGCCACAAACCAGAGACAAUGUAAGCAUGAGAAGGCUCAAUCAUGGAAUAUGUAUCAAUAACUAAGGUAAGACCAAUACAUUGUUGAUGUUGAAAAGUUAUGAACAGCAAUGUAUGGGAAACCAUAUCAAAAGGAUAAAAUGUAGUCAAUUUAAUCUGAUAAAUGCAUAAUUGCAUAAGAAAUUUAAUGUUUGAUUAUUAUUUUUUUCUUACUUUUACUCUUAAACAAAACUCUGUUAAGAAAAAUUGCUGAAAACAAUGUCAUUUCUAUAAUUCUAUGGAAGGUUACAUUACAAGAUAUAUAUAAGGGCUGAUUCAAAUAGCUUUUCACUUUAGACAUUGUUUUUGGAUUCAAGCUUUAACCAGAAUGCAUCAAAAUUGCACACACAGACUAUCAUUGUUCUUUCAAGAACCUCUCAAUUGAACUAUUCUACUAAGUACUAUCAUUGACAUGUUUUGGGAGGAACAGCUCUUUGCAACUGAAUGCUACAAGAGGUAGCAUUUCAGGGCCAAAUCCAAGUUGUCGAGGGGGAUUCUUAUUUGUACAAAUGGCACGUCAAACUUAGAACGAGCACGAAGGAAUUAACAUACUUCUUUAUCUUUUGAGUUGUUUUGCCGGAUCGAUUGCUCAAGACCUUUGGUCUCUAUCCGGACUUGAUGAAAAAAAUGGGAUCACUUCUUAUGAACUUGUUGAAAAUGAUUCUGAUCUAGUUCAUAGCCUAUUAGAAGUAGAAGGCGCUCUAGUGGGAUCCUCACAGACAAAAAAAAGAGUUUGCAAAAGGGGAAGAAGUCUUCGACCCGCAACAGAUGGAGGAGGAUUUAUUCAAUCACAUAGUUUGGGCUCAUGGAAUAUGGCACUUUCUUCUUUUCAUGCUCUGCUAUUUCAUUGUCUAAGGAGGCUUUAGCAAUUUUGGUGACGAAAAUGAAUAGAAUGC